UGGUGAACCUAUAGGUCUUCAGUGUGUGACAGGUUAGUAUAGUGGUGAACCUAUAGGUCUUCAGUGUGUGACAGGUUAGUACAGUGGUGAACCUAUAGGUCUUCAGUGUGUGACAGGUUAUUACAGUGGUGAACCUAUAGGUCUUCAGUGUGUGACAGGUUAGUACAGUGGUGAACCUAUAGGUCUUCAGUGUGUGACAGGUUAGUACAGUGGUGAACCUAUAGGUCUUCAGUGUGUGACAGGUUAGUACAGUGGUGAACCUAUGGGUCUUUAGUGUGUGACAGGUUAGUACAGUGGUGAACCUAUAGGCCUUCAGUGUGUGACAGGUUAGUACAGUGGUGAACCUAUAGGCCUUCAGUGUGUGACAGGUUAGUACAGUGGUGAACCUAUAGGCCUUCAGUGUGUGACAGGUUAGUACAGUGGUGAACCUAUAGGCCUUCAGUGUGUGACAGGUUAGUACAGUGGUGAACCUAUAGGUCUUCAGUGUGUGACAGGUUAGUACAGUGGUGAACCUAUAGGUCUUUAGUGUGUGACAGGUUAGUACAGUGGUGAACCUAUAGGUCUUUAGUGUGUGACAGGUUAGUACAGUGGUGAACCUAUAGGUCUUUAGUGUGUGACAGGUUAGUACAGUGGUGAACCUAUAGGUCUUUAGUGUGUGACAGGUUAGUACAGUGGUGAACCUAUAGGUCUUUAGUGUGUGACAGGUUAGUACAGUGGUGAACCUAUAGGUCUUUAGUGUGUGACAGGUUAGUACAGUGGUGAACCUAUAGGUCUUUAGUGUGUGACAGGUUAGUACAGUGGUGAACCUAUAGGUCUUCAGUGUGUGACAGGUUAGUACAGUGGUGAACCUAUAGGUCUUUAGUGUGUGACAGGUUAGUACAGUGGUGAACCUAUAGGUCUUUAGUGUGUGACAGGUUAGUACAGUGGUGAACCUAUAGGUCUUUAGUGUGUGACAGGUUAGUACAGUGGUGAACCUAUAGGUCUUUAGUGUGUGACAGGUUAGUACAGUGGUGAACCUAUAGGUCUUUAGUGUGUGACAGGUUAGUACAGUGGUGAACCUAUAGGUCUUUAGUGUGUGACAGGUUAGUACAGUGGUGAACCUAUAGGACCUUCAGUGUGUGACA